GAUGAACGCUAGCGGCAGGCUUAACACAUGCAAGUCGAGGGGCAGCAUAAUGGAUAGCAAUAUCUAUGGUGGCGACCGGCGCACGGGUGCGUAACGCGUAUGCAACCUACCUUUAACAGGGGGAUAACACUGAGAAAUUGGUACUAAUACCCCAUAAUAUCAUAGAAGGCAUCUUUUAUGGUUGAAAAUUCCGAUGGUUAGAGAUGGGCAUGCGUUGUAUUAGCUAGUUGGUGGGUAACGGCUCACCAAGGCGACGAUACAUAGGGGGACUGAGAGGUUAACCCCCCACACUGGUACGGAGACACGGACCAGACGCCUACGGGAGGCAGCAGUGAGGAAUAUUGGUCAAUGGACGCAAGUCUGAACCAGCCAUGCCGCGUGCAGGAUGACGGCUCUAUGAGGUGUAAACUGCUUUUGUACGAGGGUAAACGCAGAUACGUGUAUCUGUCUGAAAGUAUCGUACGAAUAAGGAUCGGCUAACUCCGUG
rnacentral:rRNA from 1 species